UUUUUGCAAAGUUAACAUCACUAAGACACUACCCACUCCCACCACCAACUCCCUGCAAAAAGCAUGCCUACUGCAGCACACCCACUGAUAUACUUCACCCAUCCCCUUCCACUUCUACUCAAUCUCCCACACAAUUUGCCAUAUUUCACUCUCACAAGGAAACCCAACGAACAAGUGCAGAGGCUUUGAGCAUCAUGAGGAUUAGCACUGCUAUUCCGAUUCAGAGAUAACGUUAAACGACAGGCAUUGCCUAUACAGGUUGAGCAGUUGAUGGAAUGGAAUGAUGUUGAGCGGGUGUUCCUUUGACAUUUCAAGAAAUGUAACCUUGAGUAUACAUCUUCAUAUGUAUAUCUCACACGUUUUCCGCUGCAAAACACUUUGAUUAGGAUAACUUUAUGUUAUGAAAUUGUGACACGUGUUAUUGGGUAACCCACCUUAAUCAGUUCUCAUUUAUGUGUAUGUUUUAUAAGUAUCCAAAUAAUCAUAUAUGAUCCUAGCAUUUUAUCUAUGAGUGACAUUUCCAUAUACUUUAAUGUUAAGUAAUUGUCCAUUUCCA